rnacentral:rRNA from 1 species
CAAUAGCGUAUAUUUAAGUUGUUGCAGUUAAAAAGCUCGUAGUUGGAUUUCGGAUGGGAUUUGCCGGUCCGUCGUUACGAUGUGCACUGGCCAGUCCUAUCUUGUUGUCGGGGACUAGCUCCUUGGAUUCACUUCCUGGGACUAGGAGCUGACGAGGUUACUUUGAGUAAAUUAGAGUGUUCAAAGCAAGCCUACGCUCUGAAUACAUUAGCAUGGAAUAACACGAUAGGACUCUGGCUUAUCUUGUUGGUCUGUGAGACCAGAGUAAUGAUUAAGAGGGACAGUCGGGGACAUUCGUAUUUCAUUGUCAGAGGUGAAAUUCUUGGAUUUACGAAAGACGAACUUCUGCGAAAGCAUUUGUCAAGGAUGUUUUCAUUAA